GAUGUAGAACGUAGCGAAAUGCGAUAAGUAAUGUGAAUUGCAGAAUUCCGUGAAUCAUCGAAUCUUUGAACGCACAUUGCGCCCCCUGGCAUUCCGGGGGGCAUGCCUGUCCGAGCGUCAUUUCUGCCCUCCAGCCCGGCUGGGUGUUGGGCGCUGUCCCCCCGGGGACACGCCCCAAAGGCAGUGGCGGCGCCGCGUCGGGUCCUCGAGCGUAUGGGGCUUUGUCACCCGCUCGGGACGGACUCGUCGGCGCUGGUCUUCCUCCAGGCGACCCUUCGGGGCUCGUCUUCCUUCGGUUGACCUCGGAUCAGGUAGGGUUACCCGCUGAACUUAAGCAUAUCAAUAAGCGGAGGA
rnacentral:misc_RNA from 1 species